GCCGAACUCAGUCUCACACACUUGAAAAUACCUUUUUUAGAAUGUGUAAAGCUAGCUAUACAAGCAAGUACACACGCUGCUUAAUUGAUUUCCUGGCCGGCUAUAGCGGUAGAGCUGCUGAUCGAUCGUCUGACGACUUUAAAAUGUUGUGGCGACUCGUCGUACUUGCGUACAAAAAAAAUUACUAGCGAACAAAAAAACCGGUUCAGGAUUGGUGCCGAAGCUGAAUGGGGGAAGAAGGGGAAGAAGGGGAUGAGACCAAUGGCAAUGAUGGAUCGGGGAGAAGCGACUCGGGCCAGAUGGCGGGUUCAUAUUACAUGAAGGGCAAAAGUGUCCUUUUACAUGCAAUGGAAAAAUGGACGGAAGUGUUAUAAAAGGCAUAAAAUUUAGACUUAGUGUUAUAUAGGGAAGAAAAAAAUCGGUAUCAAAUAGGGAAACGAAAUUUAAUACGGUGUUAAAUAAGGAAUUCUUUCGGUUUUUUUCACCUACUAUACAUCCUUAUCCUCCCUGGACUAUUGCUCAAAAAAAUCCUCCCUUGACUAUGGCACCGCACAGUUCAUCUCACUCUCUCAGCUCGAGUACGCUCCAGUCCCCGCCGCUUCCCUUCCAUCGACAGCGUUGCCGCAUCCUCCUCUCCCCUCCACGGAGACAGUUGGCCCCUCCUCUCCCCGCCAUCUCCUCCACGCCGCGCACCUGGCGUCGCUCGCAUCCUCCACUGACCGCCACGAUGGCUCGAUUGGUUCGAUCUGGCGGUGGGUGGUGGCGAAGCUUAGCGCGACGACGGAGCCUUGCUCCGGCGCUACCAAGAAAUCUUCGCUCGCUGCCCGUCUUUCUCCGUUUGCCAACACCACCUAACAUCGCCAUGGCCGGCGGCGGCAACCACCCGGGCGCCAACAAGAGGAAUCGCGAGGAGGCGGGGAUGCCUAAGCGAGCCAAGCGAAAGAAGCCCUAUAAAGACCAUGCGGCGCGUGGCAGCGGCGGCGCCAAAGGGAAGCCGCAACCCGUCACAACCAAGGACAAUCGGGUCGCAACAAAGACCUAGAAAAGGGAGCAAUAUCACACCAUGCAGAGGAAACCAACAUUUCCUACUUGAUGCACAAUCAAUAUAUGUUCGAAACAAGGUGAUAUAAAUGUCAACACAUCUAGAUGGGGAGGGUGUCAAGGAGCAGCGCCUGCUUGUGCUUCAGAAGUGAAGACGCAUGCUUAUGCAUCGCCUCAAAGUCGGUCACAUCGAUGAGGAAUGUCAGGUCGGAGGCAUCAGCGAUGAGGAUUAGUACAUCGGGGCCAGGGACUGGCACCACGGUAACAACACACGGAUCGAUCGAGCGAUUCGAGCAAAGAUUUAGAUUAGGAAUCAUUGUAUUGUAAUAACAAACUGGAUCAAACAAUCGAGAGAUUCGAGUGAAGAUUUGGAUUAGUAAACAUGGGAGAAUUCAUCACCUUGCACUA